UACGUAGGGAGCAAGCGUUGUUCGGAUUUACUGGGCGUAAAGGGCGCGUAGGCGGCAGAUCAAGUCAGCUGUGAAAUCUCCGAGCCUAACUCGGAACUGUCAGCUGAUACUGUUUUGCUAGAGUGCGGAAGGGGCAAUCGGAAUUCUUGGUGUAGCGGUGAAAUGCGUAGAUAUCAAGAGGAACACCUGAGGUGAAGACGGGUUGCUGGGCCGACACUGACGCUGAGUGCGCGAAAGCCAGGGGAGCAAACGGG
rnacentral:rRNA from 1 species